UCUAACCUUUAGUCCUUCUUAGGUGAGGUUUUGAAGUUUGCUCAAGCUUGGUAGCAUUAUUUGAUUGUUAGCCAUCCUUAAUACUCACUCAAGGUGAGUUCUCUCACACCGUUGUAUUGAUGAUUGUGUUUGCUAGUUAGCUCGUGUGUGAUUAUUUGAAUUUAUUAUAAAAGCAUGCUAUAUAAGUAUUGUUUUAAUUCGUACAUGUGCACUGUAUGUAACUAAUUAUGGAUAUGGGGACACCACCAAAGGAUACGGAUUUACCGGUGCGGUGGGUAGGUAAGAUCACCAACGUAAUACUCUUCGUGAGGUGCGGUGAUUAGGGCCAAAUGAUACGGGAUCUUCCCGGUGCGGUUCAAACCUACAAGUCCUUCUCGUAAUAUAGACAUUGAUUCGUUCUUUGCCUUUAUCAUUAUAAUUGGAAAAUGGAUUAGGGCUAGUAAAUAUGAAUGUUAGUACAAUGUCUGUGUUUGAAUUCACUAAGCUUCGUGCUUACGUUUUUCCCUUAUAACUUUUCAGGUGUUAAGAUUAAAGAGGCUAAGGCUUGACAUGGAGCAUCGGGACAUCGCUACUAGUUAUUUUGUUGGGACCUUAUUAUUAUUAUUACUUCCGCACUUAUUUUAUAUGAUUAUUAAGUUGAUGGAUUAUGUUAUGACUAUUUCAGUUGUUUUAAUUUAAUUUAAGAUGGGUUUUAAAAGUUUAAAAUUUUUGCAAAAAAAAAAAUUGGGUGUCACAAGUUGGUAUCAGAGCCACAGUUUGAGGGAACUAGGCAUUCUUGUGGAUGUUCUAGACUCAAAUUUGAGGCUCUAUAAGAGUUUAUUUUCUUUUUAAAAUAUUUUUCAAACUUUCUGAAGACUAGUAGUGAAAGAUGUCGCGGUGUACCAGUCAGCCAGCCAAGUAAGCCUUAUUUCUUAUGUUAAAUGUUUAUGUUAAAUUGUUGACUAUGAAUUGGAUUCUACUAGCCUUAAAAUAUUAGAUUACACACUUAGUUAGUGUUAACAUGUGAGAGAGUUGUAAAAUUAACGGCUAGAGCGAACUGGAAAUUUUGAAACUAGACGCGAAUGCGAAAUUGGAACUUGUGUGGAAGGUAGUAGAAGGGCCCCUACUAUUUGAAACAUCGGUGCCGGUUUCGAGUCGGGGCAAGGUUGAAAAAUUUUCGGCAAGCUGAGUGUUUUGUCUUCCUAGAAAUAUCUAGGCUGAAUUGUUUCUAAGAUUUUCCUUCUUCUGUGGAUACCAAUGGCUCCGCCUGCUCGACUUAAUCAGCUCCAAAUGGAGCAAGUUAGGGAUAUUGUCGCUGAGGAAUUCAAUAACGGUUUCAACGAACUAAUCCCGGGUGUGACCAACGACAUAAUCAACCAAUUCGGUGCUCUUCUGGAUGAGCGCCUCGCGGCUAUUCCCGGGGAAGCGUUACUGUCUCUGCCUGUUCAGGAUUCGGCAUACUACUUCGAGAAGUUCAACAAGUGUAGCUCUCCUCUUUGGAAUGGUGAAUCCGACCCAGUUGCUACUAAGCCCUGGGUGUCAGAUGUUGAGGGCGCCUUCAUAAGUGUUGGGUGUCCGGACUAGUACAAAGCAGUGAUCGCCAUGAAUCAGCUGUGAAAAAGGGGAAAGACAUAGUGGAACACCAUCACCGCUCUAUUGAACGAAGACUAAGUGAGGGCCAUGUCUUGGGCCCAAUUUGUGGAGAGGUUCGAGGCACAAUAUGUGCCUAAGGUGGAGCAGCAGCGGAUGCAGCAAGAGUUCAUGGCCUUACAGCAGACUACUGAAUCCGUUAGUGACCUGAACGCCAAGUUCUUGGAGAUGCUAUCUUUUUGCCCCUCGUUUGCUGGGAACGCGGCCUGGUUAGUCAGCCGGUACACGGCCAUCCUACGUAUCGAGAUUCGGGAAUUCGUUAGCAUGCAGGAGUUCUCGACUUUAUCUGCGAUCAUGAAUGUAGCGAGGAGGAGGGAAAUCGAGUUGCAGACCCAGUCCAAGAGGAAGGCCAAUGACACCUCUUCCAAGACAUCCAGAGAUGCCCAGAAAACGCAAAAGCAGGGUAGUAAGUCAAGGUAUGAGUAUAGGACGUCUUCAGGGCGAGAAAAAUAUGUUGAUAUGCUACAACUGCAAAAAGCCAGGGCAUCAUUGGAAGAAUUGUAGGGAUCCCCCUGCGAGUGCAGUACCUCAUAUUACUUCUGCAGUUCCCGUCUGCUAUCACUGCAACGAGACGGGACACAAGAAGCCUGAAUGCCCGAAGUUGAAGACUGGUAAAGGAGACAGGGGUACAAAUCCUGCAAUUGCAUCAUCCUCUAAGGGAACCACUAUGGUGACACGAGGUCGUGCUCACCAGAUGACUGUGGAGGAGCCGGUGAUUACAACGACACUGGCAGACACUUAUUUGCUAGAUUCCAAGCCCGAUGUUGUUAUGUUUGAUAGCGGUGCUACCCAUUCUUUUGUAUCUCACACGUUUAUUAAUCGUUUGGGGCGUAGUAUCGGAAAAUUGGCUCACCCAAUGGUUGUCGAUGUUGUCGACAACCGCACUAUUUAUGUCACCGAUGUCUAUCGGGGUUGCACUCUCGAGUUUUCUGGAGUUGAAUUCCCUAUUGAUCUUAUCCCUAUUGCGAUGCGAGAGCUCUGCGUUAUCGUAGGCAUGGAUUGGCUUGAUGCGUUUGAUGCGGAAAUCCACUGUCGUAAGAAGCAAGUUCGUGUUCGAAACCCUAGAGGUGGAGAACUUAUUAUUCAGGGGGACAUUCCCCGCCUGGCUAUGGCUUCUUGCUCUUCUGCUAUAGCACUAGACGACGUUCCUAUCGUUUCCGACUUCAGCGAUGUCUUUCCGGAGGAACUCCCUGGCUUGCCACCUGUUCGGCAAGUGGAGUUUCGCAUUGAUUUGGUGCCAGGUGCGACUCCGGUAGCGAAAUCUCCUUACCGCUUGGCACCACCUGAAAUGAAAGAGCUCCAAGAUCAACUUCAAGAACUAAGUGAUAAAGGGUUUAUACGGCCAAGCUGCUCGCCUUGGGGUGCUCCUAUUCUCUUUGUGAAGAAGAAAGAUGGAUCCCAGCGAAUGUGUAUUGAUUAUAGGGAGCUAAACAAGCGCACGAUAAAGAAUAGGUACCCGUUGCCACGUAUUGACGAUCUUUUCGAUCAGCUUCAGGGAGCAUCUUGGUUUUCCAAGAUUGAUUUACGUUCCGGUUACCAUCAGAUGCGUGUUCGUGAAGAAGACAUUGAGAAAACAGCAUUCCGUACUCGAUAUGGGCACUUUGAAUUCGUAGUGAUGCCUUUUGGGCUCACCAAUGCACCCGCAGCGUUCAUGGAUCUCAUGAACCGGGUGUGUAGCCUGAUGCUUGACCGUUCGGUCAUAGUGUUCAUAGAUGAUAUCUUAGUCUAUUCUAAGAGCAAAGAGGAGCAUCAGCAACACCUUCGGGAGAUUCUGGAAACUCUGGCAAGAGAAAGGCUUUAUGCUAAAUUUUCAAAAUGUGAAUUUUGGUUGGAAGAAGUUCAGUUCUUGGGGCAUGUGGUAAACAAACAAGGUAUCAAGGUCGAUCAAGCCAAGGUUGAUGCGGUUAAACAAUGGAAGAUUCCGAAAACACCUUCUGAAAUUCGCAGUUUCUUGGGUUUAGCCGGUUAUUACCGGAGGUUCAUUGAAAAUUUCUCUAAAAUCGCCUUACCACUCACCCGAUUGACCAAGAAAUCAAUGAAAUUCGUUUGGGGCCCGGAGCAGCAACUGGCGUUUGAUGAGUUAAGGAAACGAUUGUGUGAAGCUCCGAUUUUGGCCUUACCUGAUGGGGUUGAGGAUAUGGUGGUUUACUGUGAUGCAUCGCUUCAAGGUCUUGGUGCCGUGUUAAUGCAACGAGAUAGGGUGAUAGCCUAUGCCUCCCGACAGCUGAAACCCCACGAACGAAACUACCCCACUCAUGAUUUGGAGCUUGGGGCUGUUGUUUUCGCUCUUAAGAUUUGGAGACACUAUCUCUAUGGAGUGAAGUUUAUCAUAUACACUGACCAUAAGAGUCUAAAAUAUUUGUUCGAGCAGCGGGAUUUGAAUAUGAGGCAGAUCCGAUGGUUAGAUGUGGUAAAAGAUUAUGAUUGUGAAAUUCACUACCACCCCGGUAAAGCUAAUGUGGUAGCUGAUGCUCUUAGUCGUAAACAAUCUGCCGAACCAAUUCGAGCUAAGUGUCUCCGGAUCACGAUGGUGUCGUCUUUGUUAGAUCUAAUCCGGGACGCCCAAAAGACGGCAAUACUGGAGGAAAACAUCAGGCGUGAGAAGAUUAGGAAAGAGUUGCCUAAGAUGGAACGAGACGGGCGGGGUUUGCUGACUCGCUACGGUAGGGUUUGGGUUCCAUAUACCGGGGGAAAUCGGAAAACCCUAAUGGAUGAGUCUCAUAAGUCAAAAUUUUCUAUCCAUCCUGGUGCUACUAAAAUGUAUCGGGACCUUCAUGAGGCUUACUGGUGGCAUGGAAUGAAGAAUGAUGUGGCUCGAUUUGUGGAAGAAUGUAUGACCUGUCGAAAGGUCAAGGCGGAACACCAGAAACCGCAUGGGAAGUUGCAACCAUUGGAGAUUCCUGAAUGGAAAUGGGAGCAUCUAACCAUGGACUUCAUUACAAAACUUCCUAGAACUGCCCGAGGAUCAGAUACGAUAUGGGUGAUUGUUGAUCGUUUGACUAAGAGUGCUCACUUUCUGGCUAUAAAGGAGAGCUCAUCGGCGGAGAAAUUAGCCGAGAUCUUUGUUCGGGAGAUUGUCUCAUUACAUGGGGUGCCCGUUUCUAUCAUCUCCGAUCGAGACACCCGAUUUACCUCUCGGUUCUGGAGGAAGUUUCAAGAGGAAUUGGGCACACGAUUACAUUUUAGUACCGCCUUCCAUCCGCAGACAGACGGGCAGAGUGAGCGGACGAUUCAGACCUUGGAGGACAUGCUUAGGGCGUGUGCGAUUGAUUUUGGGGGUAGUUGGGAUGACCAUCUACAUCUAGCUGAGUUUUCUUAUAACAACAGCUAUCACUCGAGCAUUAAAAUGCCUCCGUAUGAAGCCUUGUAUGGGAGGAAGUGCAGGACGCCCGUUUGUUGGGGUGAGGUUGGGCAGAUGGUACUUGGGAGUACCGAUAUCGUGCUACAAACUACGGAGAAAAUCCAAGUGAUUCGGGAUCAUUUGGUCACAGCGAGCAGUCGUCAGAAAAGUUAUGCUGACAAAAGACGCUCCAAUCUUGAGUUCCAGGUGGGAGAUUAUGUGUUGCUUAAAGUCUCCCCCUGGAAAGGUGUGAUUCGAUUUCGGAAGCGGGGAAAGCUCGGACCCCGAUUCAUUGGACCCUACAAGGUCAUAGCUCGUGUGGGGAAGGUGGCUUACCGUUUAGAGCUUCCUGACGAGCUUAGUCUAAUUCAUAAUACGUUCCAUGUGUCUCAGUUACGAAAAUGCGUUGUUGAUGAGACCGCUGUGAUACCACUGGAGGACAUACAAAUUGACGAGCGUCUCAAUUAUGUUGAGAAACCAAUCGCUAUUUUAGAACGAAAGACGAAAGCUCUCCGCAACAAGACUAUAAACCUGGUUAAGGUGCAAUGGCAACAUAGGAAGGGUUCGGAAUGGACUUGGGAACCGGAAUGCGAGAUGCGGACUCAUUAUCCGGAUCUGUUUCUAGGUGUUGACUUCGAGGACGAAGUCCGUUCUUAGUGGGGGAGAGUUGUAACGCCCCGGGUUUUCUCGGUACGUUUGGUUAUUUUAAUUUAAUUAUCCUUGUAACCUUGGGUUAAUUUAUUUAACCAAUGUCUGAUUUCUUAUGUUAUUGGACUCUUUUGAUCAUCUUGUAAACUCCUUUUAUUGAAGUCCAUGGGCUAUGGGCCUAUUUGCAAAGUCCAUCUAGUUAAUAGUACUUAAUGUGUAAAUUGAAUCAUUUGGAACACACACAAGGAAAACACUCUAAACCCUCCCUCUCUCUCAAAAAUCGUCCCUCUCUCUCUCUUUGGGAUCAAGAGCAGCCAAGGGGCUGUUUGGAGCUUAAUUCUUGUUCAUUUCCAGCCUUGAUUCGUAUUGGUAUGAACCUCCUUAUCCUUUCUUACAACUUGAUUCAUAACCUUGUUCUAGUUUUAUGAUUUCAUCUUCACCUCUUCUCCUUCUUAUUUUAUUUGUAAUUGUAUGUUAUACAUCAUCUCAAGAUCCUAUCUUCACCCCAUAUAUGGUGGAUGAUGGAUCUAGGGGAUUACAUGUGGCAAAAGAUCAUGGAAACCCUAAAAGGGAGAAUGAUGAUUUUAUGUGCUUAUGUUUAUUUUCAUGUUGAUUAUUAUUACAUCCUUGUGGCUAAAUGAAAUCCUAAUGAUCCCUAACCCUUUUUAGUACCACCAUUAUCAUGGGGACUGAAUUGGGAUGAUGAACACAUCUUAAAAUGUGUUUCAAAAGGAGAAGGAUGGAUAAGCCAAAAAGGAAUCACGGGUGGCUACGAUUCUGUUUUCCAUCAGAUCUGUAGUCAUUUUGUAAAAAUCAUAUCUGGAGCUCUAGAACUCAAACGGACCCCAAACCAGUUCCAAAAGUUCACAAAUUGAGUUGGCUAACUUUCUUAAGAAGGCCAACCUCACUGAUAAGGGCUUUAUCUAUGUGAAAGAAUGGCAUCUUUGCUGUUAGGUCUGAUCCGGGUCUGUUCUGAUAUGUCAUUUUGUUUUCAUCAUUUCUAAGGCUUGGAAAAGGAUCCAGAGUGAUUCCAAGUUUCUAUAUGUUCCUUAUAUUAUGAAUUUAAGAUCUGGAGAAUAUGGGGUGUUAUUUCCAAUUAUAAAUUGGUUAGAAUGGAUCCACACUCCAGGUCAGUGGGCAGUCACCAGCUUUUGCUAGUGCUGUGAUUGUCCACAAUGUGAAUUUUAUAUCUGGAGUUUGAGAGAUGCUUUUCAUUCAAUUCCAACUCUGAGACUUUCACUUGUAUGUCCUUUACUUCUCUUAAUUUUCUUUUGGACGAAUUCUACUCACAAGUUGGGUAGAAUUGGCCAACAUCACUUGACUGUAUUGUUGGAGACAGAAGUGAUACACCAUUUUGUAAAAUUCAUAUUUAAUUCAUCUUUUGGAGUUAGAAUGAGUUCUUUAUAGUUGUGGAAUCCUGAGCAAUCAUAGUUUCCUAUAAAAUUUAGUUAAAGCUAUGUUUCUGUUUUAGAUUUUGGAGUAAAUCCGUUUUGAACAGCAGGUCUGUUUUAGAGACCUUGCUGUGAUUACUCUUUUCUCAACUCAUAGCUUCAUUACUUCUCGUUUCUAACCUUUAGUCCUUCUUAGGCGAGGUUUUGAAGUUUGCUCAAGCUUGGUAGCAUUAUUUGAUUGUUAGCCAUCCUUAAUACUCACUCAAGGUGAGUUCUCUCACACCUUUGUAUUGAUGAUUGUGUUUGCUAGUUAGCUCGUGUGUGAUUAUUUGAAUUUAUACUAUAUAAGUAUUGUUUUAAUUCGUACAUGUGUACUGUAU
rnacentral:lncRNA from 1 species